AUGAGCUCAUCUUUCCCCCUUCCCACCCUCCCUCCCUCCCUCGCUUGCUUUCGCUCACUCCCAUUCUCCCACUCGCUCUCUCUCAUGCUCUCUUUUUUUUGCUUCCUCAGUACACAAGCCACUCUCCCUAUCCUCCUCUCUCCCUCCUCUCCCUCCAUCCAUCCAUCCAUCCACUCUCCCUCUCCUCCCUCCAUCCACUCUCCCUCUCCCUCUCCCUCUCCCUAUCCACUCUCCCUCUCCAUCCACUCUCCUUCUCCUCCCUCCAUCCACUCUCCUUCUCCUCCCUCCCUCCAUCCACUCUCCUUCUCCUCCAUCCUCCACUCUCCUUCUCCCCCUCCAUCCACUCUCCUUCUCCUCCCUCCAUCCACUCUCCUUCUCCUCCCUCCAUCCACUCUCCUUCUCCCUCCCUCCCCCCUCCAUCCACUCUCCUUCUCCUCCCUCCAUCCACUCUCCUUCUCCUCCCUCCCUCCAUCCACUCUCCUUCUCCUCCCUCCCUCCAUCCACUCUCCUUCUCCUCCCUCCCUCCAUCCACUCUCCUUCUCCUCCCUCCAUCCACUCUCCUUCUCCUCCCUCCCUCCAUCCACUCUCCUUCUCCUCCCUCCCUCCAUCCACUCUCCUUCUCCUCCCUCCAUCCACUCUCCUUCUCCUCCCUCCAUCCACUCUCCUUCUCCUCCCUCCAUCCACUCUCCUUCUCCUCCCUCCAUCCACUCUCCUUCUCCUCCAUCCAUCCACUCUCCUUCUCCUCCCUCCAUCCACUCUCCUUCUCCUCCCUCCAUCCACUCUCCUUCUCCUCCCUCCACCCACUCUCCUUCUCCUCCCUCCAUCCACUCUCCUUCUCCUCCCUCCCUCCAUCCCUCUCCUUCUCCUCCCUCCAUCCACUCUCCUUCUCCUCCAUACAUCCACUCUCUUUCUCCUCCAUACAUCCACUCUCCUUCUCCUCCCUCCCUCCAUCCACUCUCCUUCUCCUCCCUCCAUCCACUCUCCUUCUCCUCCCUCCAUCCACUCUCCUUCUCCUCCCUCCCCUCCAUCCACUCUCCUUCUCCUCCCUCCCUCCAUCUACUCUCCUUCUCCUCCCUCCAUCCACUCUCCUUCUCCUCCAUCCCUCCAUCCACUCUCCUUCUCCUCCCUCCAUCUACUCUCCUUCUCCUCCCUCCAUCCACUCUCCUUCUCCUCCCUCCCUCCAUCCAUUCUCCUUCUCCUCCCUCCAUCUACUCUCCUUCUCCUCCCUCCAUCCACUCUCCUUCUCCUCCCUCCAUCCACUCUCCUUCUCCUCCAUCCAUCCAUCCACUCUCCCUCCAUCCACUCUCCUUCUCCUCCCUCUAUCCACUCUCCUUCUCCUCCAUCCAUCCAUCCACUCUCCUUCUCCUCCCUCCAUCCACUCUCCUUCUCCUCCCUCCAUCCACUCUCCUUCUCCUCCAUCCAUCCAUCCACUCUCCUUCUCAUCUACUCUCCUUCUCCUCCAUCCAUCCACUCUCCCUCCUCCCUCUCCCUCCUCCCUCUCAUCUACUCUCCUUCUCCAUCCAUCCACUCUCCCUCUCCAUCCAUUCCCCAUUACCCUCGUUCUCUCUCUUCUGCAUCUCUCUCACAGUCAAUACCUUCAUUAUCUCUCUUCUGCAUCUCUCUCACAGUCAUUACCCUCUCUCUUUCUCUCUCUCUCUCUCUCUCUUCUGCAUCUCUCUCACAGUCAAUACCCUCUUUCUCUCUCUUCUGCAUCUCUCUCACAGUCAUUACCCUCUCUCUCUCCUGCAUCUCUCUCACAGUCAAUACCCUCUUCCUCUCUCUUCUGCAUCUCUCUCACAGUCAUUACCCUCUCUCUCUUUCUCUUCUGCAUCUCUCUCACAGUCAUUACCCUCUCUCUCUCUCUCUCUCUCCUGCAUCUCUCUCACAGUCAAUACCCUCUUCCUCUCUCUUCUGCAUCUCUCUCACAGUCAUUACCCUCUCUCUCUUUCUCUCUCUCUCUUCUGCAUCUCUCUCACAGUCAUUACCCUCUCUCUCUCUCUCUCCUGCAUCUCUCUCACAGUCAAUACCCUCUUUCUCUCUCUUUUGCGUCUCUCUCAGAGGUACCUGAAGGGUUAA
rnacentral:lncRNA from 1 species